GACGGCCCCUCUCCCCUCUACCUGUCUCGGUCUCCGCCGCUCUCCGCGCCGCGUCGGCUUUAUAGGGAGGAGGAGGCCCCUGCGGCGCGUAAACAUCAGGCCUUGCGUAACACCUCAUCUGGUUCUCCGGCUUCCCGGGGCUCAGCGCAGACGGAACACACUCAACAGACGACGGCUUUCAGCGCCGUGUCUCCAGUACGUUUCCUCAAAGGCGCUCACUGUCUCUUUACCCAGGUUUAUUGUCUUACCACCUGAAACCCUCUAACCCUGUGUUUGGAGCUGUUCCACCAGAAGGUAGUUUUGUGGGAACAGGGACCUAGCUUUCGUGUGGCGCUCCCUGGACCUGGAACGUGCCAGGCUCACGCCAGGUCCCAGGAAACACGUACCCGGUUGUUGAACCUUCCCAAUGUGCACAGGAUUCUUGCCCUUUUCGGCCAGCAGUCGUCCUCACUGGCAGAGGCCAGCAUGGCGCUGGGGAUGCUUGUGUGCAAUUACACACAGCCUUCAGUCUGGCUCAGGCUCAUGGUCUGGUUGUUGCCUGCCUGCCACCCGCAUGCGUGGGGGCUUCCGCUCAGCCUUUGUGCCGUGCUUCCUGUGAGCUCACACCAGUGGUUCUAGGACAUGGGGUACGGGGGAAGCACUGGGAAACUUCUUAUUUCUCAGGACUUCUCCCUCCCUCGCCCGCAUCCGCAACAACUCUGACCCCAUAGUCCCUGUCUGGGGCUUAUUCUGUGCCCAGGGAGCUGGGCAGGCGGGGUGAGUGUCGGUGUGGCUUGCCGCUGACUGUGACCGUGACCGGCCUCUCCGUUGGCACGACACUGGUGUGGGUGCCCCCCACCGCCUGUCCCCACCCUUGCCGCUGCCUCCAGGGUGUCUCCCUGGGGUGCUGUGGGAAGUGUGUACCCGUGCACAGACUGGGGCGUGCUGGAGGCCGGGCCUCGGCCCAUCGCUGGCCUCUCUCCUUCUCUGCCUGCUUCUUUCUGUUUUUGUCUGUUCUGCAGUCAGUCUGUCCUCCAUUUCAGUGACAUCCCCAUCCUUUCAAAGAGUCCACAAGUCUUCUGGAGCCUUCUGGGGGAGAGGUAGGUACAGAGAGGUGUUUGGGAGCCUGGAGGACAGGACAGUCAUGGUCUUUGCCCUUAGGGAGUGUGACGGGGCCGAUGCAUACCCACGUGAUGAAUUAGGGAGUGUGGUAUGCACACAGGCGUACCCAUCGUCCCCCGCGAUCUGUCAUCACUGCACACGGAGUGGGGAAGACGGGGUUGAGGGUUAUGUUGACAGACUGGGGAACGAGUGUGAAUGAUUUCAGGAAGGCUUCCCGGAGGAGGUGACUUGUAAAUAAACUGGGAAAGAAAUGGAAAAGCCUGAACAAAAAAGGUGAGGCAUCUUUGGGGAGAAAACUGGACGUGGGAAAAGAACGCUCAGGAUAAGAAGCCUAAGUUAAGGAGACCAUGAUUCUUUCUCGGUUCCCACUCCCUAGGCCCCAUUCCCAAAGAUUUUCUUCAAUCUCGGUUGCUUCUCUGAAGACUCAUUUUUCUUUAGAAAGACUGUUUACAAUAUGCUUUCCCAAGCUGGCGACUCUGCUGGAGCAGGUGGCCUUCUCAGGAGGUGCUCCCGGGCAGCCUCUCCAGAGCCGACCGGAUUCCCCAAACCACCCCAAGGCUCAGAGACGGGACCCAGGGCACAGGGACGCGCCCUCUCGCCCUCUCACCCUCUCGCCCUCGCGUGUGGCUCUCUGACAGCCCUGUUACCAGGGGCCUCUGGGAGUCGCGGGGUGUCCAAGGCAGAGCCGGGGCUGAAAUUCAGGUUUGCGGCCUCCAAACUCUGCUUUUUCCCCGAAACAUGGCUUCCUCUCUUCUGAGACUGGACUUUCUCUGUUCUGUCCUCCUGGGAAUGUCCUUCCUGCCUCUCCCUUCAGUCCCUGCUCAGGUGCUGCUUCUUCAGCUAAUCCCGGAUGCUCAUUUGCUCUCUGUCCUUCCAACACCCCCCCAUCAGUGUCACCGGUACUUCUUUACCCACCUGCAAACUGCCCAGAAGCAUGUCCUCCUUCUCACCACCGCCCCAGCAGUCCCUCUAGGAGCCCUGUUUGCCCAGCGCGUCAGCUCCUGCCACCCCCACUUCCUGAGGGCCUCCUGUGUGUCCAGCACUGAGGAGAGAGCGAGGGGUGACCGAGCCAGCCACGGUCUCUAUCCUCUAGCAAAUCAGAUUCUGUUGCGAAAGACAAACCAUAAGCAAGCAAACAAAUAAAUUAACAAGAUAAUUACAGACGUGAUAAGUGCUUUGAAGACUGUGAAGUGGGUCCGGACGAGGUGUGCACUGCGUGUAACAGGGUGUCAGGAAACGCUUCUCCGAGGGGGUGGUGUUUGAGCGGAGCCCCCAGCACCGGGGAACAGGUCUCGAUGAAGCGUGCACGCCUGAGAGCGACAUGGAUGGUGGUUCUGUACGAGCCACCCAGGCAGCCAGCGGGACAGGCGCUGGGUUCUGUGGUCCGAGCCGGCUGCCCGUGGUGCGGUGUGUGCCAUCAGGCUCCCGCUCGGCCCCGCAGCCCUCGCCCCCUUCCCUGGUGCAAGUGUCAUCAUCCUGUGCGUGCUCACAGGCCAGAUGGGCAUACGUUGGCGUGUCCACUUUCCCAUCAGGGAGACGAGCCUUCCAGACUGAUGAUCUGUUAACCUGGACGCCAUACCAAAGGUAGCUAACUCGGUUCUGGUCCCACUUUCACCACCGAGUUCGAAGAACAGCAGGUCGGCAGGAUGUGAGAGUUGAGAGGGACGUUGGUGCCCUGUCGUGAACCCUCACAUUGCAGAGGAGGAACCUGAGGUCUGAGGGGUGGCGGAGCUGGUCCAGGGUGAGUGGUGUCUGCGGGGCCAGCCUUCCUGGUCCUGGUCCUGGUCCCCGAGUGUGCAGGAGUAGGCCGAGUCCUGUCUCUUCCACGUUUAUCUCAGUUAAAAAGGUGCUCCCUGAGCACUCCCUGCAGGUGCUGAGUGAGGCCCCGCCUGACAAGGGGUAGGAGGAGCACACGGUGCAGUCCAGGCUCACCAACACGGAGGUAGGACGCUGAGCGGGGCUGCCACAGCCCGCAGACGCAGGAGACACUAACCAGUCCCACGGCAUCUGCAUACGGGCCCAGCGUCAGGGCAGGUGCGGGGAACUGCAUCAGGUGGGCCCCAGUGCCGGAGGCAGACACCACUCACGGGGUGGUAGGUGCAAGGGGUUGAAUACAAGGAACUGGGUGAGAACAUCACUGAAAGGCCUGUAGGAUUGAAGGCAUGAGGUUCUAAGUGGACGCUUGGCUUCAAGUCCGUGGGAGCCAGUGCACCCCGCCCACUCCCACGGACCCCUCGGCCUCCCUGCUGCCUCUCGAGUCUCACACAGACACCUCUAACCGAGGACCCUAGCCGAGAAGGAGAGGUUCCCUUACCCCAACCUCUCCAAACAGAAGGGGAAUGGAGUCAAUCUACACCUCUAGGCUCAGCAGAUAAAACACAGGACACGCACUUAAACAGGAAUUUCAGAUGAACGGUGAGUAUAACUAUCUCCCAGAUAUCACGUGGGGGUUACUUGUGCCGCGAAAUGAUUCGUUCUUUGGGAUUCAGAUUUAAGUAGAUGUCUUGUGGUUUCGUUUGCUGAAUGUGGCCACCCCACAAAGGCCGGCACAGGGCCUGGGUGCAGAUGGAGGUGUUGAGGAGGCUGCGUGUAAGAGACCUGGAGAGGGGCACAGGGAGGAGGGAAGGGCAUUCCAGGCCAAGGGAACAGCUCUGCAAAGACUCUGAGGAAAGGAAGAGUUGGGCCGACUUACAGAAAGCUGGUGCAGGGUGAGCCGGGGCUGGAGGGUGCCAGGACUCCGGUGAGACCAGGUCACGCACAGCCCAGCACAGCCCAGCGGCGUCCCCCGAAGGGGUGCGGUCUGUGGUCCUGAAGAAAGGAGGUGCUGCAGGGGUUUAGGUGAGAGGCAUGGCAGCUGGUGGAGCUGGAAAGGAGAGGCUGGCUCCAAGUGUGUUUUGUAGAUGGAAGCCGCCCACAUGGUCCCUGGGAAAGGGGGCGCCGCCCUCAUGGUCCCUGGGGGGAGGGUGCGUCAUCCACAUGGUCCCUGGGGGAGGGGACACCGCCCUCAUGGUCCCUGGGGGAGGGUUCAUCGUCCACACGGUCCCUGGGGGAGGGGGCGUCCAGGGUGAGUUCUAGCCCACGGAAUGGACUGGCUCCUGCAAAGCUCUUGAGGAGCUCUGGCUGUUGGGAUGGGACCACAGGAGAGGAGGUACGGACACAGUGGCCGCCCUCUCCGUGGACAGCAGAGCCCGCCUCUCCUGUGGGCACCCCCCGCCCUGCGCCCCUGGUCUGCAUCUUUCUUAUGCUCACCCUCCCUUGGCUCUGUCCCGGCGGCACUUCCUGCGGAGCUGGGAGCUCAGCCAGGGCGGUGGGUGGAGUGUGAAGCCGCUGUCCCGCCGUGUGUGGUCUGCAGUCUGGCCUGCAGUCUGGCCGUGGAGCCGGCAGACCGUCCGUGUCCUCCUGGGCCAGGGAGGGCUGAGAGGGGAGGAAGGAGCAGAAGGCGGGAAACCUGACGGUCCGUCCUUGGCCCUUGUGACUGAACUAGGUAUUUGUGAAGGGGGCGGGGGACACGGACAGGAAUCCGCCCGAGCUGGUGGGGAUGACAUUCUACUGGGGAGACGGAGACAUGGAAGGUGACAUGUGUGGCAGCACACUUGAAUUUGGAUCGGCCACAUGUCAUCGCUGGGCUGCACAGGGGCCUCGUCCUUGCCUUCCUGUCUGAUAACUGGGGAGACCAGAGAGCAGAGAAACAACGCUGUCGAUGUGGUCGGAUCAACUUCAGUCCUGGGAAUCUAGCGUCUGGACUGAGAUCUGCUGGUGUUCAACAUAACACCAGAUUUCAAAAACUCAUCCGCAAACACCACGAUGAAAACUCCAGUAAGACGCUGCGUGGGUUUGCAGGCCCUCACUAUCUACCUGGGGACUCCUCCUCUCGUCAGUAGCGGACUGAGAAAGCAGAGCUGGGUCUCGAGGAUGGUAUUUCUCGUUCCGCGACCAGCGCCAGGG